GUAACUAUGAAAAGUAACUAGAAACGCCCCAUGGGAAGGAAGAUGGCGGACUGAUCGAAGUUAUGUAGAGCACCUCAAGAUAAAAACAUAAUAUUCAAUAUCGGUAAAGUUAGAAUAAAAUAUUAGCACUUCACAAUCUGGUGGGUGAUAACCUUUAAUCUGGAUAAUAACACUAAACAAAUCUUAAGACUAGAGACAUUUAUCUACAAAUAUUACAAAAACAAGCAACACCCAAACAUGACGGAGGGUAAGACAGGGGAACCCAUCUCAACAUGACGGAGGGUAAGACAGGGGAACCCGUCUCAACAUGACGGAGGGUAAGACAGGGGAACCCAUCUCAACACGACGGAGGGUAAGACAGGGGAACCCAUCUCAACAUGACGGGGGGUAAGACAGGGGAACCCAUCUCAACAUGACGGGGGGUAAGACAGGGGAACCCAUCUCAACAUGACGGAGAGUCAGACAGGGGAACCCGUCUCAACAUGACGGAGGGUAAGACAGGGGAACCCAUCUCAACAUGACGGAGGGUAAGACAGGGGAACCCAUCUCAACAUGACGGAGGGUAAGACAGGGGAACCCAUCUCAACAUGACGGGGAGUCAGACAGGGGAACCCAUCUCAACAUGACGGAGGGUAAGACAGGGGAACCCAUCUCAACAUGACGGAGGGUAAGACAGGGGAACCCAUCUCAACAUGACGGAGAGUAAGACAGGGGAACCCAUCUCAACAUGACGGAGGGUAAGACAGGGGAACCCGUCUCAACAUGACGGAGGGUAAGACAGGGGAACCCAUCUCAACAUGACGGAGGGUAAGACAGGGGAACCCAUCUCAACAUGACGGAGGGUAAGACAGGGGAACCCAUCUCAACAUGACGGGAAGUCAGACAGGGGAACCGAUUUCAAAACGAAAACGUGACUCUUCUACAGACACAGACGAUUUAAUAUUUUCACCAGCGGGAAUGGUAAAGGUCGAAACCGAUCUGUUAAAAUCAAUAAAUGACAAACUGGGUACACUUGAAUUAGUUAGUAAGGAUAUAAAAGAGUUGAAGGCAAGCCUCGAGAUGAGUGAUGAAAAAGCUGCGACAUUGGAGAAGGAAACACACAAGCUAAAAGGGACAGUGAAUAAGAUUGAAACCGAAGUGAAUGACUUUAAAAAGGAGAACACCGUUCUGAGAGAAGCCUUACUGGACAUACAGACUAGAUCCAUGAGAGAGAAUCUGGUCCUAACAGGUAUCCAGGAGAAAGAAGGGGACGUUCCUGAAUCUGUAGUUAGAGAGUUCCUCCUUACAGCGCUUCAAAUCCCACGCGAAGCUAUCGACAAAAUCCAACUCGAACGUGUACACCGCUUCGGACAGAGAGGCCAAAGGUAUGAACACCCAAUCGUUGCCAAAUUUGCUUAAUUUAAAGAUAAAAUAAUGGUUAAAAGCCUGGGUAAAAGACUUGCUGGGACCAAAAUUGGCAUGAAUGACCAGUUCUUGAAGGAAAUUGCAGAACGGCGUAAAGUUCUGUAUCCAAUUUUCAAAGAAAAUAGAUUAAAAGGGAAACGAGUAGCUCUCGUCGUCGAUAAACUAUAUAUUGAUAACCAGUUGUUCAGAGACACAAAGACUACUCCACGGCUAUUUAAACAAUUACAAAGUUCUUAUAGACGAGGAAAAUAAUGAAACACAAUUCUAGCCCGGUUAUGGAUUGUAACAAUACAAUAAAACUGGAACACACAAGCACUAAUUCAAGAUGGUGAAGAUAAAAACUAAGUAAACAGAAGGCACAGUAUGUGUGGAUGGUGGGUGUGUGUUUAUCUUUUUAUUUCAUUUGUUAUGUUUGGGAAAGUUGAGUGAGUGAGUAAUAAAUGGUUGCAUAUCCCAGAACCAAUGUAUUGUUGUGAGCCGGGAUAUGAGAGGGCUUUCAAUGUUGUUCAGAUGAUGGAUAUACUUUAUAAUGAAUUAUACAUCUUAUUUAUUUAUUGUCCUAUCAUGGGGGAACAGUUUUAAAAUAAAUUAUAUAUAUUUAUUUAUGAUCCUAAUUUAAUGGUACGGUCAACAACCCUAUACCCUAGACACCCACCUGAAUGACACAGAUACUAAGGA
rnacentral:lncRNA from 1 species